rnacentral:misc_RNA from 1 species
AAAGAACUCAGGAGUUUUCCGGCGCCAAUCGAGCUCCUCAGAUGGCCGUUCUUCAAGCUUCCGCCUCUCUCUCUCUCGCCACACGCGAUGCUUCCUUCGCAAGAACAGCACCAAAAGUCUUUCCACUUCAUAGAGGUCCCCUACCGAAUUCAUACCGACUUGGAACGACGUUCGCUACUGGCUCUCCACUUGUGUUAAUAAGCAAGCCAUCUGGUCAAAAGAAGCACGCACUCAAACAAAAUUCUGUUUCUAUAAGAUGUGAACAAAGUACCCAACAGAGUAAUCUGGAUGUUUGGCUUGGGCGCUUUGCGAUGGUAGGAUUUGCUAUUGCAAUUAGUGUUGAAAUAGCAACAGGCAAGGGACUUUUAGAGAAUUUUGGAGUAACGUCUCCCCUGCCUAGUGUGGCCUUGGCAGUUACUGCAUUGGUUGGCGUACUGACUGCAGUUUUCAUCUUCCAAUCAGCUACCAAAAACUGAACAAAUCUAGAUUGGUUUUUUACACGUUUUCUGUAAAGUUUGUAAUACUAAAAGAUGUAAAAGAUGUUUUCCUUGACAUUCGUUUUUAUUUGUUGUAAUAUUCUCGAGUGCAAACAACGGGCAACCAAGUU